rnacentral:misc_RNA from 1 species
AAAAAAAAAAAAAAAAAUACUAAACAGUGAGCUUCCUUUUUUCACGUUAUGCGCUUGCAUAGUUAUUUUGAGCUUGCAGAUGAGGUUACAGUUGAACGUACAUACACAUUGAGUUUUCUUCCCCCGUCCCCUUUAAAUUUAGGAAAGAACUACAGCCAAAUGGUGACGAGAGACGUGUACCAGCAAGAUAAAGUUAUCCACCAGUCUACCAAUUCUGAAACACUUGUCAAUGGGUUGAACAAAUUUUAAAAUUUCAGGCUCUUUUGGUCUUCAAAAUGUGGUGGCUGUUUCCCAAAAAAAAAAAGAAGGAACAAACAAGUAAAGGGGAAAAUAAGCACAAGUCAGCUUGAACAAAGUGCCAAUGCCCAUUUGAAGGAAACAAUUUCAUUUAUUUACAAUUCAAUCAAAUUAAUAUAAAAAUCAUUUGCUAUGGGCACUAAAAAAACUCAACUGUCAUUUGAUGCUGGGCUUCGUCGAAGUUCUUUAAAGUUCAUUCUGCCAUUAAUCAGGCAGAUACAAAAAUUUUCUAACUGUAUUGUCAGCCAAAAUUGUCGCCUUAACCAACGUUAUUGAAAGGUCCCACAAGUAAACAACCUACUGUUUAACCUGCAUUUUCCAGAGGGUGGUCUGAUCAUGAAAGCGAGAAAAUGUUCAAAUAUUCCCGUGCAUAGGAUGAAAAAAAGCUUUAUAAAUUCUACUUUUUUUGGGGCUAUCUGGCUAUGCUUGAUUGGUUGAUUGGGAAGAAAAGCAGAACCUAGGAUCAUGUAGCAUUAGCAGUACAGUUUUCACUCAAUGAAAAGCCCAUAGAUUUUGGAGCUUCGCUCCCUCUUACUACUCUGUUACAUAUAACUUUAAAAGACUGGGAGCCAUAUGGUCGACUAAGCAAACUUAUUGGCAUUCUCAGAGUCUGCUUUCUGUUUCUCCUUCCCCUUAACAAAAUGCUGAAGGUUUGUUCCCUGUCAAUCUUCCUUUCAUCACUGCAGCUAGUAUUUUCUUCGAAACUUUUCUUCUGACCUGAAUCAUUCCCAGAAAUUUGACCCUUACCCAGAUUUGAAUGACCAUUUUCCUUUACACUUUCCAAGCCAACCCCAGCCAGUUCUUUUGCAUCAUCUGUUCCCUCUGAUGCCAGAAGGUUCACUUCUUUCUUAGCUUCUCCUACAUUGUCAAUGUCUACUGAAAGAACCGGAGACAGACUUGUGCUUCCAGGAUUUUCAAAUUGCACUUUAGGCUCUACCAUAGGAUCAGGAAUUGGCUCAGCAACAGGUGGUGGGACAGAAAACUCCAUUCCACAACAACCAGGCCAUACUGUGCUAGGAAUAAACUCUGAUACAUGACUGUUCACAUUACAGUGCCAAGAGAAAUGAUUGGGAUGAAAGGCAUUGCUGGUUACUGGAAAGGUACUGCUUGGCACUGCUUGACUUUGACUGUAAGGAGGGUAAAUAAAUUGCAAUGGCUGAAUCAUGUUUGGGGUUGCAGGAGGUGACGGGUAUGGGUAGUGUGGGGAAGACAUUGGACUAAUUGUGGGUAAGACAGUAGCAGGCCCCGGGUGUAGAGUCAUGUUUACAGGCCAUGGUGCAACAGCUCGAACAGCACCAGGACCAGAAGGAAGAGGAAUGUUCACCGAUACCGAUGCAGCACGUGCAAUAGAUGGUGAUGGGUUAAAUGGAGCUGCAGAAGCAGACAACUUCUUAUUUGGGAGUCCAUGAGUCUCACCUGAAUUAAUAACCAGUGAUUUGUCCUUCAAAUCCUCUACUUGAGGCAAGGUGGAGUUAGAAUUACCUUGGGGUUCAAAUUCGGGUGAAUCCUUCUCACAAGGGGAUCCCUUUGGGGGAGAAUCAAUUGAAUUUAUGCAGUCAAUCAAUAUGCCAUUCUCCAUAACUUCAUGAACCUCAACAACACCAGAUUCAGAUUCUAGCGUGCUCUGAGGCUCCAUAAAAGAAUUAUCAUCUUUUGCAUCAAUUGAGUGACUUUCCUCUUUCCUCUCAACAUCAGUUACAUUGUUCAAGUGAUCUGCCAAAUCUAUCGCAGAACUUUUAUCCUUCUCUCCGCAUAAACAUUCUAAAUCUGUUGCUACUUCACCAGCAUUUUCUAUUGCUUCAUUUUUCUCCUCGUGUUUUCCAACACCAACUUCCUGGUUAUCCAGAAUAUCACUUUGUGGAAACCAGACCUGAAACUUAGCAAUAGUGCCUGGGGGUGCCAAUGCUACUUCCUUGUAUGAAGGGGACUUUCCAAGACUAACUAUUGAAUUCUUCACUGGGCCAACAUCAGUAGGGGCAGAACUUGAACUAGAUUCGAGUGACAAAGCAAAAGCUUUGCCAUCACUUCUUGAGUUCUCUGUUGUAGCAGUUUUAUUAGCUGAAGGAAUAGACUUGACCCUGUACGUUACAGCUUUCAAUAUUCUCCUCCCAUAUUUGGUACCCUGGGAAGGAUUUGUUGCAUGGUGAUCCACAUAACUUCCAUGAGAUAGUGCCCGUUUCUUUAAGAGAUAAUACCUACUAUUCUGGUGAGUAUUCUUGACAGGAGAGUAAUCCAUGUUAGCAUCCACAAUCUUUUUCUGAUAAACCUUGCCCAUGAUUCCUCGCCACUGCUUCAGGCGUCGCCCAUAUGAGCCAGCUGAUCUUGGCCUUUGAACUGGUUGCCAUCCAUCAUCCCCUUCAGCAUGUGUUUCUGGUAAUGUUUCAUUGGAAAUGUCAGAUUUCUUCUCAGCAGUCUCUUCCACAAUGGGUUGCUGGAACUGAACUUGGGCAGAGCUAGUCUCCUGGGUAGCAACAGGUUUGUGCAUCUCUUCAUCUGAAGCCUCUUUGAGAGCCUCUUUCGGAGAUUCAUCAAUACUUGCUAAAUUCACAUUUGGAUUGGUUUUCUCCUUUAUCUUUGUAAUAUAACUUUUCCUCUUUACGGAUACAAAAUCUCUCCCCUUGGUGUCACGGCUUGGAUUAAUAUAGUCCAGCAAAUCAGAAACACUCAGGUGGCCUUUGCUAGCUAUGGAUGCAUCAGGCUUCCUAGUACCAUUCCGUGCAGCUUCUUGCUGUUCAAAGGCUUUGGACUCAAAGUACUCAAGCCAAGCAGCAGCAUCCUGAGUACGUAAAUCAUCUGGGCCCAGUUUUGCUCGGAGAAUUUGCAAGGUCGUUUGUUCAUGCUGAACACUCAAUGGAUAUGCUUCCAUCAGUGAGAGUGCAAUUGCUAUUGCAUGGUAACUUGCUGCUGUCUGAAUAUGAUCUGGACCAAGUAACCGUUGGUUGCACUUCAGAGCUUUAUGAAGAUAUCUAAGGGCAACAUGCACAUUUCCCAGGCCUUCCUCCAUCAUGGCCACAUUGAUGUAUGUUGCGGCAGUGUUUGGGUGUGAAGGACCACAUGUGAGAUGUAGAAGAUAUAGAGCACGCUUUACAUACUUGAGCGCCAACUCUGUAUGUUGAAGUCUGUAAUAGAACACAGCAAGAUCCCCAUAACUUUUCAUUGUAUCAGGAUGAUCAAGUCCAAGUUCUCUCUCAUUGAUAUCCAAUGCUUUUUGCUGAUAAAUGGUUGCCUGAUUAAAAUCUCCAGUGUGGUAAAGGACUACAGCUAGAAGACUAUAAGCACUUGCAGUAGUUCGAUGAUAUGGACCACAUACAGCUAUCAUCUUUGCUAGUGCCUUUGUUCCAUAAUUAACAGCAUCCUCCAGCUUUCCUUUAUCAAGAGAAAUCUUGGAUGACUCCAGUAAAUUUCGUCCGUCUGCUGAAGAACAUCCUACAUGCUUACACACAGGAACAACGCUGAUGAUGUCAAAUUUCCUGAAAGGGUUUGGGCAUUCCAUAUCAUAAUCUCUUGGAACUAACUCCAGCCCCACCUUAUGGCAAAGUCCUCGAAGAAUUGAUAACUUUCUCAAGUGGAGAAACUCAUCUUUUAAUGUCCAACCAAAUCUUCUAGAAAGAAACGUUUGUAACCAAUGCAAUUUGAGAAUAUAAUCAUCCUUCAUAUUUUGGUCAUUAUCUUCCAUGCCACAUGAUCCGAGUAAGAAAUUUAAGGAUGAAGCUAUGGCUGCAGAUAGGUCUGCUACAUUCUCCACAGAUGCAAUAACUGCUUUCACUAUGUGCUUGAAAGCUCUAGUAACCAUCUCAUGGAUACAAAGUGAUUGUAUAUGAGGAAGCUUCUCUGCCAGUUCGAACUUUAAAUGAAGGCCAGUUCCAGAUUCUUUCAGACGGAAGAACGCUUCUUCAGAAAUCAAUUCCUUCAAUUCAUUCUCACUGUUGGAGUCUCCAUUGCUAUGCUGUCUAUCAGUGCCCACAUUUAGUCUGCAGGGGCCAGUUUUAGUUUCUUCCUUCUCAAGGGUGCCAUUCAUACUAGUUUUUUUAUCCCUCUUCUUCAAGAACUUAAAUUCCUUUCCAAGACCUUUCACAGCAUGUUCAGUCUUGGUAUCCUCCUCUGAGUGUUUCGAAUCAGUAUCUGUUGAAGUUUCCUGCUUUUGCAGAUGCUGCAACCAACAUGAACCCAAUUCCCAUCUGAUGGACCUUUCAGAAGUAACUGGCAUCUCCUCCAACUUGGUCAAACUCUCUUUAAUUACUUGUCGAACAAGACACCUAGAUGCUUCUGAAUCAUCAAAGGAGUGGUGAGGUGACUGACUUCCAGAUGAUUCCUUGACACAAGACUGGUAAAGCACAACCCUUAAGCUGAAAAACAUUUAUUACCCUAUAAGUCCACAGAGAAUUGUUAAAGCACAUGCAUUCAAGAACAGUAAAUUGCCUAGAAAGCAUCUUACACUCCCAAUAAAGCAGCAAAAAACUUUUACGACCUAUCUUAUUCUAUUGGCUCCAUAGAAACCUUAAUUGCACAUCUCUACUUAAUGUUUCCUUUUUAUGGCAACGUGUUAUUUUACCUCCAAGUUUCAUUGGCGCAUUCCUCACAUUAGAAUUGAAAAAUACUCUUGACAAUGAUCUUCUGCAAUAAAAUCCCCCUUAUAGCUGAUAAGUAACUAAUCACAUUCCAUCACAUUAUGGUAUAAAGGAUCCAAAAUAAAAGACAAACAAAAUGUGCUUUCUUUUCAUUAAGGAUCACAAACACUUGAAAGUAGUUUCUCUAGUACUUCCCUUGAGAAGUUGUUAUAAGACAAAUCUAAAUCUCUCAAUUUACAGUCAUCGCUAGCAGAAAAAAGAAAAUAACCUUGAAAACAAUUUUUGGCUAAAUUAAGAUAUCCCAUAUUCAGAAGCAUCUUUGCACCAAUUUCUUCAAGCCACCCAUUGAAAGAAUUAUUCAUAAGAUUUAGGAUCUCAAAUCCUCCAUUGUUCUCAAGCAACCAAUUAGGAAACCUUCCUUUGAGUUUGUUGUGAGACAAGUCGAGGACUUCCAAUUUGAAUUGGUGAAAGAGAAACUCAGGAACGCUGUCGAGGCCACAACUUUGCAUUAUAAGAACCUUUAACUGAAAUGAUGGAAUCCAACCAGUCUCAAACGUAAUGUUGUUGCCGCUUAAUAUAAGUGCCUCAAGGCUGGAAUAAUUAGCCAAUAAAUUGAAUGAGAAUAAGCCCUCAAAAAGAUUAUUGCUAAGAUCAAUAAAUUUGAGGGAGGACUUGAAGUUAGCUGGCGAAGAUGAAGGAAUGUUUUUGACUGAGAAUAUGCCUUCAAAACGAUUAUAGCUAAGAUCAAUAAAUUUGAGGUUAGCUGGCCAAGAUGAAGGAAUGUGCCCUGUUAAUUGGUUUCUUGACAGAUCUAAGGACAUGAGAGAUGUCAAAUUGUCAAGGCAUUGAGGAAGACUACCCCCAAAUUCGUUAUAGCCAAGGUCUAACUCUUGAAGACCCUUCAAGCCACACAAACUUUGAUUUGGUAAAGAGCCAUUGAGUUUGUUGUUGGAUAAAGAUAAUACUUUGAGAAAAGGUGGAGUCCACAUAUAUUCAGGAAUACUUCCAGUAAAUUCAUUUUCCAUCAAAUUCAAAAUCUCUAAACUUUUGAAAGUUGAUAAUUCUUGAAAUGGUAGGGUGCUAUUGAAUCUAUUCAAACUUACAUCCAAGGAUUCCAAAUUCUUCAGGUCACUAAUUAAUUCUUUGCUAGGAAAGGAACCUUCCAUGACAUUUCUUCUAAGAAUCAAAGUCUUAAGCGAUAUAAGAGCAUUCACUGAUGAUAAAAUACUAUUAUUGAAUAGAUUAGCACUAAGAUCUAAGCAUUGUAGCUUUUUCAAUCUUGAUAGUCUUUCAAAACCUUCUUUGUUAAUCCAGCCAUUUAACCGAUUAGAAGAUAAAUCAAGUCUAAGCAAAGCUUCAAAAGGAUGAAGCAAGGAGAGAUUUAGACUACAAAAUGUUUCAUUUCCAAAGGUUCCAUUUUCAAAAGCUCCAUAUCCCAUAUGUGCUACUGAGAGUUCAAUCACACGCCGGGAGGUGGCAUUGCAUAUAACACCCUCCCAAUCACAGCAGUCACUCAUUCCAUCAUCAACCCAAGAAUCAAGAAUAUCAUUAUUAUCAUAACAGUUUGAUUUUAGGAAAGCCUUGAACUCCAUCAAACCUAUCCUUUCUUUUUCCAAGCAAGCACGGUAUGCAUUCAUUUGAACCAAAAGUAUAAGAACCCAUAAUGAAAACUUAAGCAAAAUCCUUUCCAUUCGAAAGACAAAGCACUAAAUUGUUGCUAAGUUACUAAAGAAGAGAAUUAAAUUUCGCACUUUUGAGUUUUGAGGUCAAUCUCUG